rnacentral:rRNA from 1 species
AGCAGCCGCGGUAAUUCCAGCUCCAAUAGCGUAUAUUAAAGUUGUUGCAGUUAAAAAGCUCGUAGUUGAAUUUCGGGGUCAGUAGGUCGGUCGUGCCACUGGUAUGAACUGGUUUUACUGAUUCCUCCCUCUUGAAGAACUGUAAUGCCAUUAAUUUGGUGUUGCAGGGGAUCAGGACUGUUACUUUGAAAAAAUUAGAGUGUUUAAAGCAGGCUUUAGCUUGAAUACAUUAGCAUGGAAUAAUGAAAUAGGACGUUUGAUCCUAUUUUGUUGGUUUCUAGGAUUGACGUAAUGAUUAAUAGGGAUAGUUGGGGGCAUUAGUAUUCAAUUGUCAGAGGUGAAAUUCUUGGAUUUAUUGAAGACUAACUACUGCGAAAGCAUUUGCCAAGGAUGUUUUCAUUAAUCAAGAACGAAAGUUAGGGGAUCGAAGACGAUCAGAUACCGUCGUAGUCUUAACCAUAAACUAUGCCGACUAGGGAUCGGAUGAUGUUAAUUUUUUAAUGACUCA